CAAUCGGCCCUUUUCAGGGCCACCAAAGUUUUAAGAAACGAAUUG
rfam:Daphnia magna strain Xinb3 scaffold01581, whole genome shotgun sequence.